GACAGAGGGUGCAAACGUUGUUCGGAAUUACUGGGCGUAAAGCGCGUGUAGGCGGUCGUGCAAGUCGGGUGUGAAAGCCCUCGGCUCAACCGGGGAAGUGCACUCGAAACUUCAUGACUAGAGUCUCGGAGAGGAUAGUGGAAUUCUCGGUGUAGAGGUGAAAUUCGUAGAUAUCGAGAGGAACACCGGUGGCGAAGGCGGCUAUCUUGACGAUGACUGACGCUGAGACGCGAAAGCGUGGGGAGCAAACAGG
rnacentral:rRNA from 1 species